rnacentral:lncRNA from 1 species
GACCAGAGCAUUGAAAGACCUUUGGGGCAUCCAAAAAUCAAGGAGAAAGAAUCUUGAGGUGUGGAGAUCUAAUAGACACAAAACUAGGUGUUUGAGUUAGAGCAAAGAGAAGAAGAAGAGGAUCUUCUUCUAGAGUUGCUGGGUUCAUCUCUUUCCUCCCUCCAUCUGUAAGUUUUUUAAGAGUAUCACAUCUAAAACUCCUUCUCUUACUUCUCAUCUUUGGAAGAGUCUAAAUCAAGAAGAAGGAGGCAUCUGAUCGAUCAUCGAA